GGCCAUAAGAUGCAGAGCCGUGUGAUGGAGAAGGGUGGUGUGUGAGGCUUCACGUGACCUGCGCUGCGAAGAGUACACUCUGGAAGAGGCUUCAGUACUGACAUCACACAGACGGCUCUCAAACCACACCGGGGGACUGCCUCAUGCGAUUGGAUCGCUAAUCCAAGAUCCACGAGCAUCAGAAUUCAUGUCCUGGAGCUGAAUAUGAAAAUUGGGAGACGCGUAGCUGUAAUGGAAUGCUGAGAGCUGAAAGUCUACAGCUUUCCAGCAAACUAUGGGAAAGGAGUAGAGAGAUUCUCACAGCUCUCUCACUAUGGACCCAGUCUCCUAGUGACUGUAAUGACUCAUGAAUGUGAACUCAGCUGUCAUCAAUGUUUUCACAACCACUUU